rnacentral:rRNA from 1 species
UACGGGGGGGGUAAGCGUUGUUCGGAAUUACUGGGCGUAAAGGGCUCGUAGGCGGCCAACUAAGUCAGACGUGAAAUCCCUCAGCUUAACUGGGGAACUGCGUCUGAUACUGGAUGGCUUGGAUCCGGGAGAGGGAUGUGGAAUUCCAGGUGUAGCGGUGAAAUGCGUAGAUAUCUGGAGGAACACCGGUGGCGAAGGCGGCAUCCUGGACCGGUAUUGACGCUGAGGAGCGAAAGCCAGGGGAGCAAACGGG